AGACUUGAGCUCGGGCGUAGCGGCUAGACCGGGCUGUGGCGAUAGAGUCCAAAGGAAGGCAGGAUGACUUCAAAGAUCUGCUAGUGCACCUGGAUUCUGGUUUUCUUACUAUUCAGCUUCAUGACCUUGAACAAACUUUACUCAGCUUGGCUGUGCCUCAGUUUAGUCAUCUGGAAAGGAAGGGGAUAGGACUAUAACUAAAUAUAAUUCUAGAUCAUUUUAAGUAUCAUCUGUGCACUCACGCAAUAUGUGCAUGGAACGUGGAGGCGAGAGUACAAAAGGCAUGGUGCUUGCCUAUCGACAUGAGGCCCCUACAACCCAGGGAAGGCCCGGUGGUCCAGGAUCCAGUGCUGCUCCCCAUGUGCCCAUCUCACAUGCUGCUCGGCACCAGCAGCCAUCACCACUCCACUUCUCUCAAGAGACAGAGUCUUGCUCUAUCCCCCAGGUGGGAGUGCAGUGGCAUGAUCUUGGCUCACUGCAACCUCCCCCUCCUGGGUUCAAGUGGUUCUCCUGCCUCAGCCUCUCGAGCAUCUGGGAUUACAGAUGGAGGAAGGAGGUCCCAAGCCAAGGAAUGCAGCAUGGGCCUCUAGAAGCUGGAAUGACCCUCACCUCACGGCCAGCAAGAAAUCAGGGAACUCAGUCUUACCCGAGUGAGCAGGAAAUCGAUUCUCCUCUGCAGCCUCUAUAGAGAACACAGCCUGUCAACACCCUGAUUUUGGCCCAAUGAGCCCUGUACCUCCAGAAGUGUAACGUAAUAAAUUUGUGUUGUUUUAAGCUA